GGGGAUAUAGCUCAAUUGUACAGCACCUGCCUGGUAAGUGCGAGGUCCUGAGUUCAAUUCCCAAUAUACCCC
rnacentral:tRNA from 1 species